rnacentral:rRNA from 1 species
UACGUAGGGUGCAAGCGUUAUCCGGAUUCACUGGGUUUAAAGGGUGCGUAGGCGGGUUGGUAAGUCCGUGGUGAAAUCCCCAAGCUUAACUUGGGAACUGCCGUGGAUACUAUCAAUCUUGAAUAUCGUGGAGGUAAGCGGAAUAUGCCAUGUAGCGGUGAAAUGCUUAGAUAUGACAUAGAACACCAAUUGCGUAGGCAGCUUACUACACGAUCAUUGACGCUGAGGCACGAAAGCGUGGGGAGCAAACAGG